GAUGAACGCUGGCGGCGUGCCUAAUACAUGCAAGACGAGCGAACAGACGAGGAGCUUGCUCCUCUGACGUUAGCGGCGGACGGGUGAGUAACACGUGGAUAACCUACCUAUAAGACUGGGAUAACUUCGGGAAACCGGAGCUAAUACCGGAUAAUAUAUUGAACCGCAUGGUUCAAUAGUGAAAGACGGUUUUGCUGUCACUUACAGAUGGAUCCGCGCCGCAUUAGCUAGUUGGUAAGGUAACGGCUUACCAAGGCAACGAUGCGUAGCCGACCUGAGAGGGUGAUCGGCCACACUGGAACUGAGACACGGUCCAGACUCCUACGGGAGGCAGCAGUAGGGAAUCUUCCGCAAUGGGCGAAAGCCUGACGGAGCAACGCCGCGUGAGUGAUGAAGGUCUUCGGAUCGUAAAACUCUGUUAUUAGGGAAGAACAAAUGUGUAAGUAACUAUGCACGUCUUGACGGUACCUAAUCAGAAAGCCACGGCUAACUACGUG
rnacentral:rRNA from 1 species